rnacentral:snoRNA from 1 species
ACAUCUCUGACAGGCCUGGAGCAGUUAAUGUCUGCUGCUAAGGUUUCCACUAGAGAUGCAAGAAAAAGGUCCUCGUGCUUCUGUCUGUCUGGUUGUGGCAGCCAGGAUUGAAUGGGGGAAAACAAGA